GACGAACGCUGGCGGCGUGCCUAAUACAUGCAAGUAGAACGCACAGUUUAUACCGUAGCUUGCUACACCAUAGACUGUGAGUUGCGAACGGGUGAGUAACGCGUAGGUAACCUGCCUGGUAGCGGGGGAUAACUAUUGGAAACGAUAGCUAAUACCGCAUAAUAUUAAUUAUUGCAUGAUAAUUGGUUGAAAGAUGCAACUGCAUCACUACCAGAUGGACCUGCGUUGUAUUAGCUAGUAGGUGAGGUAACGGCUCACCUAGGCGACGAUACAUAGCCGACCUGAGAGGGUGAUCGGCCACACUGGGACUGAGACACGGCCCAGACUCCUACGGGAGGCAGCAGUAGGGAAUCUUCGGCAAUGGACGAAAGUCUGACCGAGCAACGCCGCGUGAGUGAAGAAGGUUUUCGGAUCGUAAAGCUCUGUUGUAAGAGAAGAACGGGUGUGAGAGUGGAAAGUUCACACUGUGACGGUAUCUUACCAGAAAGGGACGGCUAACUACGUG
rnacentral:rRNA from 1 species